rnacentral:rRNA from 1 species
AGUGAACGCUGGCGGUAGGCCUAACACAUGCAAGUCGAACGGCAGCACAGUAAGAGCUUGCUCUUACGGGUGGCGAGUGGCGGACGGGUGAGGAAUACAUCGGAAUCUACUUUUUCGUGGGGGAUAAUGUAGGGAAACUUACGCUAAUACCGCAUACGACCUACGGGUGAAAGCAGGGGAUCUUCGGACCUUGCGCGAUUGAAUGAGCCGAUGUCGGAUUAGCUAGUUGGCGGGGUAAAGGCCCACCAAGGCGACGAUCCGUAGCUGGUCUGAGAGGAUGAUCAGCCACACUGGAACUGAGACACGGUCCGGACUCCUACGGGAGGCAGCAGUGGGGAAUAUUGGACAAUGGGCGCAAGCCUGAUCCAGCCAUACCGCGUGGGUGAAGAAGGCCUUCGGGUUGUAAAGCCCUUUUGUUGGGAAAGAAAAGCAGCAGGUUAAUACCCCGCUGUUCUGACGGUACCCAAAGAAUAAGCACCGGCUAACUUCGUG